GAUGAACGCUGGCGGCGUGCCUAAUACAUGCAAGUCGAGCGAACGGACGAGAAGCUUGCUUCUCUGAUGUUAGCGGCGGACGGGUGAGUAACACGUGGAUAACCUACCUAUAAGACUGGGAUAACUUCGGGAAACCGGAGCUAAUACCGGAUAAUAUUUUGAACCGCAUGGUUCAAAAGUGAAAGACGGUCUUGCUGUCACUUAUAGAUGGAUCCGCGCUGCAUUAGCUAGUUGGUAAGGUAACGGCUUACCAAGGCAACGAUGCAUAGCCGACCUGAGAGGAUGAUCGGCCACACUGGAACUGAGACACGGUCCAGACUCCUACGGGAGGCAGCAGUAGGGAAUCUUCCGCAAUGGGCGAAAGCCUGACGGAGCAACGCCGCGUGAGUGAUGAAGGUCUUCGGAUCGUAAAACUCUGUUAUUAGGGAAGAACAUAUGUGUAAGUAACUCUGCACAUCUUGACGGUACCUAAUCAGAAAGCAACGGCUAACUACGUG
rnacentral:rRNA from 1 species